CUCUUUUCCCUUAUCUGCUCCAUCUAUCCAGCCGGAUAUGUAAUAAAUACACGUUUAGUCUCGACGUGCCCAUACGCAAUGAAAAAGACUCAGCAACGUUGAUAAAUGAAAGUCUUCCGGCGAUCGAGAGCCCCUGUGCAAAAAAACUAAAGAAUAACGCAGUCGGUUGAUCUUUGCGACGCCUUAACUUAAAGGAGACCACCACUAAUUAAAGACUAAAACAGAAUGAGGUAACGGGUCAAGAACGGUCCGCCUCGCUGAAGGAUUGGAUGGUCUCGUACCCGUAACGUCAGCAGGGCCUGGUCCGCCAGUUGGCCUGAAAACAUGAGCAGCAGCCCCCAUUAUUGCCACCACAGAUACUGGCGAACCCGAACCGGUCGAGCCAACCCUAGUGCCGUGACGUCGCCAAAUGGCUGUUGUUUGGAUAAAGAAGACCAAGUACGACCAAUGAUCCUAUUCGCUGUUUCUCCUUUCUCUCGCAUUUAGCACUGUGCAUGCUUACGUUGGGUGUUACUGGAGAGAUAAAUCGAGUCGAUUUUUACUAGGGCUUAAUUGAAAAUAUCGUCCUUUUCCACAGUGUUCUCCUUUGCCUCUGCUUGGUGUCUGUGAUCCGUAACUGGCGGAUCUGGGAGGGGCUUUGCACAAGUUAGCCAGGCAAGCCGUUAGCACUGCGGAAGGAUGCGUUGGUGAACUGGUAGUUAGAACUACGUUUAGCAAAAAAAAUAUUACUGGCUUGUUCCAGCCCAAUAGCAGACGUCUACCGACUAUCCGAUCGACUAAACAGGACCAACUGCAUUUAAUGCACUCCAUUUUCCACUGAAAACGAACUUUAGCUUGCUGUUGUAGCAGUACAAGUACCCAGUGAUUAGAAUCGACCGUUGCGACGGGCUGAUUUCCACACUAGGCGUUCUAAGGCAUUAUAGAAGAUCUCGGCACGUUUCUGUCGGCAGUGUUGUGUAACUUCGAUAUAGUCAAAUCGGAGUGACUGGGGUACUGGCAGAACGUGGGGCACUGGCUCCCAGCGGAUCUACACGGACCGCCAAAAAGUCGCUGUGAUUCGGCCAGCUGAUCGGAUCAGUGGUUCUUCUUGCAGACGAAUCAGUGUUACCACAAUGCGUAACAGUAUCUUCGUUCCCCCGGCCAUAGAAACGACAUGACAUGUCGAGUGUGAUAAUCGGCUCUAACUAUAUAGAAUAGCAUCGAGUCAAAUCGUGCAUUUGGUCGGAUUAGACUGCUCCUGCUCAUCAUCAAUAUUCCCUUGGUCACUUGCCCAGUUUCGAUGAUUAUGCUAGUGGCCCCGAAAUAGCGGACGUGCCAACGCAGCGCACGGAAGAGCACUAUACGUCACCUUUCUCAUUGUGCCCGGCGCAGAUCUAACCAGCGUGCGGAGGGACGGUAUCAGACGUCACCGUUAUAUAUUUCUAUAUGAUAUAAGAUAGUGGUUUAUACCGUGACGAUUGAAUGUGAGUCAAGAAGGUGUGCUAUCAUCUCAAGCGGCGUCUUACUCAGCAGCAACGAAAAUAACGAUGACAAUCGGCGCCACCGCUGCAAUGAUAACCCCCUAGGGGGACUGGGCACCGCACGUAGCUGUACCAGGGUAACACGAGACUCCCGAAGUACGCGGAAACGGAAAAUGAAGCCAGAAAAUCAGCAAGCGAUUUGCAACACAGGAUUGAUGGCCACUAUAGACACAUGUAAGCGUAUUGACAACUGGCAUUCCGCAACUUCAAUAGGUUUUCGUGAUUCAAGAGAUCGUCACCGGAUGCCCUUUAUCAAUAAAAAUAUGAUAGCAAAUGGGAGAUUGGGCUUGUAAUGUAAAUAGACGACCACCGUUUUUUGCUUGAGAAAAACCUCAAAAAGCUCGCCGUAUUAAGCUCGGACAUUAUGUCUGACAGCUCCCUGUGCGCGCCAUUCUAAAACUUCGCUAACAUUCAACGAGAUGUCGAAAAAAAUUGACGCCUCAGCCGCAAUUCGAAAACUGGCCACCGGUAAAGCACAAAAGCAAAAUCGGGACUUCUCAGCAUAAAACCAGCAUCCGCUACCUUCAGUAAUGACAGCGUCGUCAAUAUUUGCAGUCGGCAAGACGACAAAAUACGAGGAUAGAUUCGGCUGUUCAUAGCUGAAGUCAUUACCAGAAAGGAGUACUACGUAUUUGACAGAGUCAAAAAUGGUGUUCCGUCGAUUGUGUUUUUUUUUUUAUUUGCCUAUCCACUUCUGUUCGCCCUUAUACCGAGUUGUGAUGUUAUUGUAUAUGGAUAUAAGUCGGAUUCGUAACGACUGAAAAAUAAAUAUGUUCCAAAUGGUCGAAGUAAGGCAAGAAUGAUCUGACGGAUGGGCCAGAACUAUGGCUGCUACCUAACGAGUUAUCAACCAUUAGAUCGUAAUGUUACGAUCAGUCGUUGACAUCCAGCAACAGUGUACUCAGCAGACAGACCGACUGAAUGACAGCAACAACAAUAAUUUACUAUUUAGUACAGCACAUUGACCAAGGAAACUGGUGACAUAGUUGCCAGGUAUCAUUACGGGAGGCGUAUGCGUGGCGUGGCGUGGCGUGGCGGGAACCCUCACGAGGUAUGCAAUUGUAAAUAGCCAAGGAACCGACGACAAUAGAACCUUAUCGUACCCGCGUUAUAGUUGCGGCAUUUGCCUGUGUAUAAAACAUCGAAUCAUUCUACCGCUAUAUCUAGCGGCCAGUUGUUACCAGACGAUUUCGAGCUGAGAGCGAGUGAGCUACAGUGAAAAACCGAAAGGUAACGGUUGCGCCAUUGUUGUUGGAGAAUUUGUUAGCGUUCAUGUUGCGUCGUCCUGCUAAAAGAUCAUCGUUAUUGCCAACAGUUGCUAGAUUAAAUACCGUUGGCGCACCAUGAGAUCGUAGCACUGGAUGGCUCCCCGGCCUGAUCCGUCUAGACCUUGUUCAGGUGACCUUCUCGUUUUUCGCCUUUUUCCUCACGCUCGUAUUCCCGUUCUUUAUCGAUGAACAAUUUACUAAACCAUUGGCGCUUAACGUCGAUGGCGGAGAGCAGUUGAAAGUAAACAAUUACAGCCGACGAAGCUAGAGGCAGAAAAACGAUAGCACAAAAGCAUGAGUUAUUACUGGAUGUUCGUGGUUUUGGGCAUGUCCGCUCUAUUGGCUGGCUGGCUGGCUGGCUGACAGUAUUGUCACGUCGCGCAUUAACCUCGAAAAUAUGAGCUGAAGCCAAAACGAGUUCCAGUGACUUGCUAUACAUUCGCAUAUGAAUCAGAUAGUCACUCGAGAUCUGACGAAGGGUCAAGUAAUGGAUGAAAGUACUCGUUAUACAUUCAAAACUGUGACCCGGGCUUCAGUGUUGCUAAAAAUGCUUUCUGGAAAUUCACACUACAGUGAUCACAGUGGAAAAUGAGAACACUGAUCAGGACAGUCUUCUAUCUGAGACGUAUUUAGUUGGCAACGAUAAGCGUCGUUAGCUAAUUUCAACUGCAGAGCUAAAUCGUCCUAACAACUCACGUAACGGUAAUAACGACAAUGAAAAAGUUGGCUGAUCGAUCAGUGCGCCCCGCGAUAAUUCGAAUCCGAAGCCUAUAUUGUCCGUUUACUAUCACGUUAAUAGUCAAAGAAAGCGUCAUUAAACGAGACAAUCAGCCCCUGAAUGAUUUGUUCCCGCCAAACACUUACUUCGUCUGUCGUACGACGCCGCUUCGGUCGCUGCAAUUGUCGUUGUUCCUUUUACGGUGGAUAUCGUAGCGGAGGCGAACCGUAACGGAGGCGAAAGGAAAAGUUUUCUGGCAAUUUGUGGUUCGUUGUCGUAUUUUCUAAUUGGAAGUUCAGGAACGUACUUGUUUACCUCGUGGGCUUCACACGAUUUUACAGUCUAGAUACAGAAUAUUCCAUUGCAUCCUAUAGGACCCGUUACAGUAUUGUGAUAGCACUUCUGUGGUAUCAAUCACUGCGAAACUCUAGUGUCGAUGCUAUCCAUCUAUAUAGAUACGACCAGCUUACUCUGCGUUUGCAGUUCCACUUACAAGAAUUGACCUUAUCAAUAGUCAGUCUUAGCAUUUCAUCGUUCUCUGACAAACGCCCUUUUUCCCAGCAACCAGCAUCAAGUAUAUUAAAAAAGACACGAAAAAUUACGCAAAAACCUAACAUCUCUCUUGUUUAAAAUUUCUUUGCCUAAAAACAUAUAGCGAGGCUAAUAUCACAUGGGCAAAUUUACUCAAGUUACGUUUUUGUAACGUAGAUAUGCACGAAACGGUUUUUUCAGAAACAACAAGUGUAUCUAUCUACACAACGACGGCUUACGACAUCAAAUCGUUAAAGGCCUGCCUAUGCUACUUAUA